rnacentral:lncRNA from 1 species
AACACUACAUAUUCAAUGCUAAAUGCAUUUGCAAAUGUACGAAGCAAGAAGGAGUACUAGGGGUUAGGAUGGUCUUCUCUGGAAAUGAAUUCAAUGUGUGCGCUGCCUAUAAUUUUGCGAAAUGGUUGGGACGACCCCGAACAUCUUACCUCAUGCCAUUACUUUAACCAUGCAAUAUUUGAUAUAACACUGUCUCACUCUUUAUCAAAAUCAUAUGAUCACCUUUAAGAAUACAACUAUUGGAAACCAUGAAUCGAAUUUAAACUUGAGGGGUCUGUAAAUAAUAUCCUUGAAAACAUUAGGAUGUUUUAAUCCACAUUGAAGAGGGUUUCUUCAUAAUAAGCUUAACUUCCAAACUAAAAUUUUGUAUCUAAGAAAGAAUAAAGCAAAGGUUAGAAGACCUUUUUCAAAACACUUUCCCUCAUUUCAAUGUCAAUUGAUCAUUCCAAUCUUAAAUAUCAC